CCUCUUCUUCUUCAUCUUCUUUUGAUUCAUGAUUUGUUACUUCCUCUCUGGUUAUUACUGUUCUUUCGAUUCCUUGUUUUAUGUGUGUGAGAGUUGUGUUGGUGUGGCAGAAUUCAAAAACGACAUUGCCACUGCUCUGCGAGCUUCUCCUCCAUCAAUGAUUCUUCCCCUCUAUCGGUGUCAUGUCCAUCAAUGCUUCUCCUCUGAUGGUACAUUUGCUUCCAUUGAUGCGAUUUGCUAGGUUUUGAUUUUCUUCCUUGUUCAAUUUAUUUUUAGGAUUGCACGUCAAUAUUU